AUUGAACGCUGGCGGAAUGCUUUACACAUGCAAGUCGAACGGCAGCACGGACUUCGGUCUGGUGGCGAGUGGCGAACGGGUGAGUAAUAUAUCGGAACGUGCCCAGUCGUGGGGGAUAACGUAGUGAAAAUUACGCUAAUACCGCAUACGAUCAAUGGAUGAAAGCGGGGGAUCGCGAGACCUCGCGCGAUUGGAGCGGCCGGUAUCAGAUUAGGUCGUUGGUGAGGUAAAGGCUCACCAAGCCGACGAUCUGUAGCUGGUCUGAGAGGACGACACGCCACACUGGAACGGCGGCACGGUCCAGACUCCUACGGGAAGCAGCAGUGGGGAAUUUUGGACAAUGGGCGCAAGUCUUAUCCAGCAAUUCCGCGUGCACGACGAAGGCCUUCGGGUUGUAAACUGCUUUUGUACAGAACGAAAAGGUCUCUAUUAAUACUAGGGGCUCAUGACGGUACUGUAAGAAUAAGCACCGGCUAACUACGUGCCAGCAGCCGCCGUAA
rnacentral:rRNA from 1 species